GCCUGGGAACUUCCAUAUGCCAAAGGUGUGGCCCUAAAAAGCAGAAAAAAAAAAAAUGUGUAAUGACACUUAUAGGUCCAGAAAAACACUCUGCACUGUUUAUUAUAUUUCUCUAGUCCUCUCAAUCUCUGAGGGAUUGUCAAGGGCAAUUUUUCUGUGUAUGAUUUUCAUUUAUGGGCAAUUAAUGUGAUUUGAGAGUUGCCUCCAGGAUCCAACCUCCACUUAAGAAGCCACUUCCUGGACAUCAUCUCGGCUGAAUCCCUGGCGGUGAGCCGGGACUAUGAACUCAAUCUAAAGCCAAGUAGGACUCUGCUGAUGACAGGUGACAGCAGUAAAAUGAAAACUAUCAUAAGUUCAAAAAGGAACAGAUUACUUCCUGAACUGGCCAGCUAGAUACAUUGCCACCUCAGGCAUGGUGGUACCCAGGAGCCUGAAAGGCAUUCUUGUCUCUCACCCUCUCUGCUUUCCUCUGCGUUAGAGGGAAAGAUAACCUUUGAUGAUUCCCUGACCUCAUCAAGUCCCUCAAGUGGGGGCCUGCCUGGCUCCACCUGGGUCCCUUGCUUUCCCCUGGACUGAAGGGCUUCCGGCCAAGAGGAUGCGGUACUCUGAUUGGCCACCUCGAGUCAUGUGCCUGCCUGUGGGCGGAGCUCUCUGUAUUUGCUGCUAUAGACUAGCAGGUCUAAAAAGGAAAAGAAGGUUUCUGCUACUCCGGAAAGAAUGGUGGCGGUAGGAAUACAUGCUCCCCAGAGGACCAGCCAAGCUGAAGCAGAGGAUGACUGGGAAUAACACAAAGAUGUUAUUAGCAGCCACAGGAAACGAAUGCAUGAAUCUUGGAUUGGAUUAAACUGACGUGGGAGGUGACUUUCCUAAGAAAAGUAGUUCUGGUGUCGCCUCCCUGUGGCUUAACUAGACAGGUCAGUGUCCUUUCUAUUUUGGGUCCAUUAUUUUCCCUUCCUUCCUUCUUUCCUUCCCUCCCCCUUCUCCUCCCCUCCCCCCUUUUCUUUGCUUUUCUUUUCUUUUGCCUCACCCAUGGCAUGCAAAAAUUCCUGGGCUAGGGAUCAAACCCGAGACUGAGCAGUAACCUGAGUCAUAGUGGUGACAAUGCCAAGUCCUUAACUACUAGGCCACCAGGGAACUCCAGGGCCCUUAUUUUCAAUGCUCUGAUUUAUUGCGUAUAAAAACCUAUCUACUACCUGAAAAGAUUUGAGGUGGCUUAUAGUAAAAGAGAGCUCUAAGUAAAUGUAAAAUGAGAGGGAAAGAACUGAAGUCACAUUAUAGCAGUCAUUUUUCAUUCAACCAUUCAUUCAAUUUUACCCUCAUUUAAAAUAUUCUAUAUACCAAGUUAACAUACUCAGCACUGU